UUCACCGAGCAAGUAGAGCAACCACUUCUUCUUCUUUUUCUUAUAUUCCUUCUGCUCGAGCACCAAUAUCACACAGUCUCGCUGAUACCAGCGCCAUAAUCUGCCUUCUUCUUUUUCUUAAAUCAAUUUUUCUUAAAACCCUUUUGUUUUAUCUCUACAGUAGAACCCUAGAUCCAGGAUUUCUAUUUCUUAUCUAGGGUUUCAAUUAUAGAGAUAAGCAAGAGAUUCCUUCGAUUAAUCUACAUGAUGAUGCGGAUUAAAAACAAAUAUAUGAAAUCAUUUCGAUUGAUCUACAUAAGGUUCUUAAUCAGGUGAUGUUUCAUUGUUGGUUUGAUUUUUAUUACAAAUUCGACGUUCAUUUAAUGUUCAGGUGAUGUUCUUAAUGAGAUUCGUUUGAAGAUCUUGGUUAGAAAUCGGUAAUUUCUUUUACAAGGUAAAGGACCCUGUCUUCUAAAUCAUUGGGAUAUUCCGAAUAAUCGAUCUGAACACUUAUAAAAUCAAAUUUAUUUAUUUAAUUUUGAAGAUGGUUAAGAACCCUAACUUUGUUUUUGUUGUUUGAUAGCCAUUAGAAGGUGGACCCAUUGGAUACUCAUCAUCUGUUUUGUAUAUUGGUUUCUAUGGAAAGGAAAUGGAACGUAUGAUUUCAUUGAGACAUUUGAAUCUACUUUGUGAUUUCCAUAUUUUGAGUUUAAAUUUCUUAUUUGUUUUGAAUUUGGGUUGUGAUUUUCUUUAUUGUGGAGUUUUUUCUGCAAUUUAAUUUUAUUAAGCGGUGGGAAUAAAAAGGCUUGUUUAGCUUUAUUGUUUUGCUCAUGAACUUUUAAAGGCAUGCAAUGAAUGGGGAAUUUUUGCUCUUACUGAUCAGGGGAUCCCGUGGGAUUAUUAUUUCCAUAUUAUGCAUCCUUCUUGUAAGGUUAACCAUCAAGCUUUGCCGAAACACCCUCCUUCAUACAUGAACGUGACAGAAGAGUAUACUAAGGAAGUUUUAAGAGUGAAUUUUAGAAUACUUGGGUUGCUUUCUGUGGGGCUUUCCAAAUGCUCUCUAUGUGCAUAUUGGUGAUCAAAUUGAGGUGUUAAACAACGAAAAAUGCAAGAGUAUCCUAAACAUGAGCUUAGUGAACAAGGAACGAUCGCGUAUGUCAUGGGAAGUAUUCUCAAUACCACCAUAAGAUGUGGUUAUUAGCCCUCUUCAGCCACUAGUGAACAGUGAAAACUCAUCCAAAUGGCUAACCCACUGAUAAAAGUUGUUGACUGGACUCAAAUUAAACGCAACCACCAUAGUAAGGAAAGAACAUUGGAAGAACAUGGAAAAUUGGUGAAGGGAAUCGUGAAGCGAGACAAGAAGCGAUGACCAUGUUAUGUAUGGUAAGGAGCUUGUAUUGUCCUUGUCCAAUUCACUCUUCUUUUAAAUUCUAGCGUUUGAUAUGACAUUUAACUAUCAUGUUAUAGAUGGUGGAUUUUCGACAAAGACUAAAAUCAUAAAACCAUAAUUGUACAUACUCCUGAUCCAGCAAUCAGAUGAGUAUUGAGGCUCAUGUCUCUCAUCGAAGCAUGAAAGCUCAUGCCGCAAGAACCUCUGACUGGGAAUAAUGUCUUUCAGAGCACAUGUAGAUGUGAAGUCUCUCAACUGAGGCAACGACGUAUCUCAUGAAUACUGAGCAAAUUCAGUAAUCACUUCUAUAUAGAAUCGAACGAUUGGACGGCUCCUAGACAGCUUGC